CUUUCUUACAACCUACCUUAGUUUCAGGACAAGGCUUUAGGAUUUAAGACAAAGCCUUAUUUGAUCCUAACAAGGGUUGUGAGGGUCCUAAAGAAGGGAAAUCAGAAGUUUAAAAAAAGAUCUAAGAGGGUCGAGUCAGAUUCUUGGAGAAAUCUGAUCGAUAUAGGGCUAGUCAAGUUUUAGGGGCUAGAACUCUUGAAGCA
rnacentral:lncRNA from 1 species